AGUCCGAUAGUGUAGGGGUCUAUCACUCGGGGCUUUGAACCCCGAGACCGGAGUUCGAAUCUCCGUCGGACUA
rnacentral:tRNA from 1 species